CCUACGGGAGGCAGCAGUGAGGAAUAUUGGUCAAUGGACGAGAGUCUGAACCAGCCAAGUAGCGUGAAGGAUGACUGCCCUAUGGGUUGUAAACUUCUUUUAUAUGGGAAUAAAACGUUCCACGUGUGGGAUUUUGUAUGUACCAUAUGAAUAAGGAUCGGCAAACUCCGUGCCAGCAGCCGCGGUAAUACGGAGGAUCCGAGCGUUAUCCGGAUUUAUUGGGUUUAAAGGGAGCGUAGGUGGAUUGUUAAGUCAGUUGUGAAAGUUUGCGGCUCAACCGUAAAAUUGCAGUUGAAACUGGCAGUCUUGAGUACAGUAGAGGUGGGCGGAAUUCGUGGUGUAGCGGUGAAAUGCUUAGAUAUCACGAAGAACUCCGAUUGCGAAGGCAGUUCACUGGACUGCAACUGACACUGAGGCUCGAAAGUGUGGGUAUCAAACAGGAUUAGAUACCCCUGUAGUC
rnacentral:rRNA from 1 species